UACAACGUUUGACUUUUCAUCUUAUUUUAAAAAAUUUUAUAAUUACUAUUUUUAUUGUUUUUAGAUGAUAAAACUUGAAUAAUACUUUAUGUAUAAUUAUUUUUUUAAUUUUUCUUAAAAAAAAUUAAAUAAGACAGAUAGUCAAACGUUGGACAUAAAAAUCCA
rnacentral:pre_miRNA from 1 species